rnacentral:rRNA from 1 species
CGAACGGGGUCGGAACUUCGGUUCCGGCUUACGUGGCGCACGGGUGAGUAACACGUGGGAAUCUGCCCAUCUAUGGGGAAUAACUGCGGGAAACUGCAGCUAAUACCGCAUACGCCCUUCGGGGGAAAGGCUUCGGCCGUAGAUGGAUGAGCCCGCGUCCGAUUAGCUAGUUGGUGGGGUAAAAGCCUACCAAGGCGACGAUCGGUAGCUGGUCUGAGAGGAUGAUCAGCCACACUGGGACUGAGACACGGCCCAGACUCCUACGGGAGGCAGCAGUGGGGAAUAUUGGACAAUGGGCGAAAGCCUGAUCCAGCAAUGCCGCGUGAGUGAUGAAGGUCUUCGGAUUGUAAAGCUCUUUCGACGGGGAAGAUAAUGACGGUACCCGUAGAAGAAGCCCCGGCUAACUUCGUGCCAGCAGCCGCGGUAAUACGAAGGGGGCUAGCGUUGUUCGGAUUUACUGGGCGUAAAGCGUGCGUAGGCGGCUUGUCAAGUCAGAAGUGAAAGCCCGGGGCUCAACUCCGGAACUGCUUUUGAGACUGGCAGGCUUGAGUUCGGGAGAGGGUAGUGGAAUUCCCAGUGUAGAGGUGAAAUUCGUAGAUAUUGGGAAGAACACCGGUG